rnacentral:rRNA from 1 species
AUGAACGCUAGCGGCAGGCUUAACACAUGCAAGUCGAGGGGUAGAAGGAGCUUGCUCCUUUGAGACCGGCGCACGGGGUGCGUAACGCGUAUGCAAUCUACCUUUGCAGAGGGAUAGCCCAGAGAAAUUUGGAUUAAUACCUCAUAGUAUGUGAGGAUGGCAUCAUUUUCACAUUAAAGUCACAACGGCAAAAGAUGAGCAUGCGUCCCAUUAGCUAGUUGGUAAGGUAACGGCUUACCAAGGCUACGAUGGGUAGGGGUCCUGAGAGGGAGAUCCCCCACACUGGUACUGAGACACGGACCAGACUCCUACGGGAGGCAGCAGUGAGGAAUAUUGGACAAUGGGCGCAAGCCUGAUCCAGCCAUGCCGCGUGCAGGAUGACGGUCCUAUGGAUUGUAAACUGCUUUAUACAGGAAGAAACACUCCGACGUGUCGGAGCUUGACGGUACUGUAAGAAUAAGGAUCGGCUAACUACGUG